rnacentral:miRNA from 1 species
UACCUCAUUGACCGGAAGGAUCCCUUCCGGCCAAUGAGAUUGUUAUACCUCAUUGACCGGAAGGAAUCCCUUCCGGUCGAUGAGGUU